CAACACCGGUUCUCGUAUGAUCACUGAAGUUAAGCAACGUCGAGCCUGGUCAGUACCUAGAUCGGUGACGGAUUGGAAUGACAGGUGUUGUAAG